UAUAUAUAUAUAUAUAUAUAUAUAUAUGAAUAUAUAUAUAUGUAUAUAUAAAUUAAAGAAACAAAAAAGAAACAUAAGAGAAACAAAAAAGUAUAGAGUCUCAUAAAAGCUGCCUUUAACUAUCCCUAGGAGACAGGGUGAAGGGACCCUUGCUAAGCCCAACCCAGGCAGAGGAGCCUGUGGAAGAUCAUCCCGUGUCUCAUCCCUCCUAAACCAUCCCCUUCCCCUUUAAGACCCAGGCUCAUCUGCAGGGCACGAGUGCGAUAUGGAAGCAAGCAGUGAACCCACAAUCUACAGCCCCAACUCAUAGAGCAGCCCCGAAGAGGUGCUGGGAGGAGUUCAGGCCUGUGUGGCCUUUGUCAUCCUGAGUAAUCCCCUCGUCAGCAGGAGAGGGGACCUACCUGUCCUUAACAGCCUUCCUGUGGAACCACUGCUUCCCCAACCAGGAAGAAAGGGAGAGGGAGUUGGGGCCACCUGAGCCUUUUCCUUCUAGCCUACAUAGACAGAGGCCUUGCCUUUAGCUGAGCUGGGACACUGCCCGUGUCCCCUCCCCUUGAGCCAGCCCCAUGUCCCCUUGCUCCAGGCCACCUUCUGUGUCUUAGUUGAAGUUUGUCCACCUGUAGUUUCAAGAUUCACAUAGAAGGCUGUGACCAUAGGUGGGAAGGUUCACAACUGUAUAUACUGCCAUUGAGGAGGGGAUCAUUUUCACUACAUAGAAGCUUCAGAAUUAGAGGUCCCUCUUUACCCAGGACCUGGGAGCGAAGUAGAUGUUUUGCCAAAAUACUUCUUCAUUCCUUUAAGAAGUACAUCUUUCCUAUGCAAGAGUGUCUCCUAUGUGCUUACCCAAGGUGGUUCUAGAUGGUGAGCAGCGUUUGGCUUAGAAGUGAUAUGUGCUCUGUCUGUCCGUCUUGUCCGUCUGUUGUAUACAGUGGGUGCCAUAUAAAACUGAUCCGUGGUGGUGCUUCCUGCCUGCUUCUGUGAGAUGGGCCAAGAUUCAGCCUAGAACACCAUGAUGCACCUUGCUGUGGUCAGCCUUUCUCAGGCCUGCAGGGCCUUGCACAUGUUUUACCUGGGGGGGAUCAUUUCCCUCUUCCCAACAGACAUGGAUCCACCUAGUCCUGGCCCCAGAUGUGUUGGGAUCUCUCCAGAUGUUGCCGAGGCUGGAGACCUCUGAUCUGCCAUUGCUCAGAUAGCCAAGGAUGUGGGGCUGGGGUUGGAGGGUUCUUCCUUCAUAAUACUUUCUAAGAAAAC
rnacentral:lncRNA from 1 species